AUGCAUAGGAAUUUUAUAUAACCUGCCUGAGCAUAACACUGAAUACCCAUGCGCAGGUUGAUGACUUCCCUGGUGUUGGCGCAACAUUCGCGCACCCCGGCUUAGGC
rnacentral:sRNA from 1 species